rnacentral:lncRNA from 1 species
CUAUCGUAUCGACCCAUCUUUUUCGUCCGUGGCCGCAGAGUCGUCUGGGGCCAUUCGGGUUUGGUGCCCCCAUCAGGGCUCGAGCUCGAAGGUCUGAGCUUCUGUCACCCUGAGGAAGUUGUCUUACCUUGGGCUUGUGUUGAAAGCUUCCUUGAAAGCUGAGGUUCUUGAUGAGAGCCCCAAUCCUUGUCGAGACAGGGUUCUCUGCAUCUUGGACGCUGUUUGUUUUUCAUUCGUCGCUGACGUGAUCCAUC